rnacentral:misc_RNA from 1 species
AUUAUUAUUAUCCCGGAUUUCCGUACACUUCCGUAAAUUUCCGUAGCCAGAGGGAGAGAAUUGAUAGAAAAAAAAAAAAAGAAAACAUCCAAUUAUUUAUCAUCACCAUAUGUUUUCUAAAAUAUUUUUAAUCAAAAAGUGAGGUCAACAACAUCAUCAUCAAGUCUAUCCAUUGGUUCCAUAGCAUCAAAUAAUAAUUAUUAUUAAUUAUUAAUUAUAAAUAUAUGUCAGGUGUUAACAUAACCUAACUAUUUGAUAUUUUAUUUAUUUUUCUCUCUCUGCGUCAAAAUAUUCAAGGUCAAUAAAUAUUUGCUACAAUAGUCUAGUGUAUUUGUACAUAUAUAAAAAUACAUCAGUGAAAUUUUGUCGUCGUUGAUAGUUUGAGUGUUAAUUUAUAUCAUUGACCGUUUUUUUAUAUUUAAUUUUGUAUUUGUGUGUUUCAACAAACUUGAUAAUUUAUAUACAACAAUGGCGGCUUUUUAUAGUAUUAAUAUUAAACUUGAUGAUGAAUUAUUUAUCAAAUAUUAUUGUUAAUUAAAUUGCUAGCAACCAUUGAUUUAUUUAUUUGGUUUUAUCAAUAAACUACAUGGUAACGAAUAAAUUUAAAUAAUAAACCAAAUAUCAAGAAAUAAUUUACAAUUGCUCCAAAAAAAAAAAAAUCAUAAAUAAAAGUAAAUAAUCAUGAAUAUCAGAUCAGAAAAUAUGAAGACAGAUAGAAUUGAUAAAUCAUCAAAUUCAUCAAGAAGAAAUAAAAAGAAACAUGGUGGUAAAAAAUUAAAUCCAGUAAAUAAUAAUUGGUGUGUUAAUAAAGAUGAAAAUGUAAAUGGUCAUUCAAGUAGUGGUAGUAUAGAUUAUGGACAAAUGUUUUGGCAACAGCCAUCUGGUAUACCAGCUCAUAUGCAGCCACAUACUGGUCAACGUUUAUUUACAGCAAUGUCUGAUCCAAGUGUAUGUGGUUAUUCAGCAAUGCCAAUGGCAUACACAAUGGAGCCAAUAUCAAUGCCACCAUUAUAUCCAAUAUAUCGUCCAGUACCACAACAACAACAACAGCAACAAAAACAGCAUCAACAACAUCAUCAACAGCCACAAACAUAUAAUAAAAUAUAUAGAGAUAAAAGUAGAAAAAAUAUAUCACAUAAUAAUCAGUAUAUUAUUGCAAAUCAAACAAUGCCAAAUGGUUAUUCAAGUUUACAAGAUAAUACAUCAAAUUAUUUAACACCAAGAUAUUGUGAAAAUGGUGAUUAUGCAUCAUUACCACCAAAUGCUUAUGACAAUGUUGAUGAUAGUGAUGAAUUAAAUUGUGAACAUAGAAGAUAUUCUGAUCCUGGUCUUGGUCCAGCUGAUAUUAAAUCUUGUGAUAAUAGUGAUGAUUCAGAUACAGGAGAGAGUGAAAGUUCAAUUGUUACUAUUGGAAAAAAUAAUAAACUUGUUUUUUCACUUAUUGAACAGAUGACUAAUUUGAGAGAGGCCAAUAGUAGAAUGUUCAAGGAACUUCAUGAGACUAAAUUAUCAUUGGAUAAUGUUAAAGCUGAAUUAUCAAAAAUUAAAAAUCAAACAUCAUCGGAUUAUCAACCUGGAAUGUUGUCUGAUAUCAUUAGUGAAAUGAGAGAUGCAAGUAGAGCUCUUGAUGAAUCAAUGAUGGCUAAAGUAACAUCAAUUGUUGAGGAUAAAAAUCAACAGACACAAUUAGAGAUGAAAGAUAUUAAGGAACAUCUUGAAAAAUUAACUGCAGAAAAAUAUCAAGAUUCUAAAAAAAUCAUUCAACUUGAAGAAGAAAUUUCACGUUUAAAAAUUAAUUCAAACAAUGAAGAUCGUGUGAUAGCUGCAUUUGAGGAAGAAACACUUGCACUGAGACGUGAACUACAAGAAGCAAUAUCAAGAAAUUAUGCUGAUAAAGAUGGAUUAAUUAAGUGCGUAGAAGAAACGAUUAUAAAUCGUAUAACGCCUGUAUCAUUCAAGUCACCCUGUGUAACAAGCACCCCCGUGCGUACCGAUAAAAAUAUGAUAAUAGAUAAAUCCUUAAUAAAUGAAUUAAAUGAUUCAUCAUCAUCAUCCUCAAUAUCCUCAUCAUCAUCAUUAUCCUCACCACUUCAAAUAUUAUCCUCAUCCAACUCGUCGAGGAUUAAUCAAGAUGAUGUUGAUGUUAAUACCUACAAUGACAAUGUUGUUGAUCAUGAUUGGGAAUGGAAAGAACUUGAUCAUGGUUCAGCUCAAUCAAAUAUAUCAAGUCAAGAAUUUAAUGAAGAUGAAGAUGACAAUAAAAAUCAUGAAAAUGACGAUAGUUUUGAUAAAGAAUCAAUGCAAUCAAUGGAACCAGAUGAAAAACAAAGACAAGAAAUAGAACGUUUAAUACAAUAUCAUCUUAAACGUGAACAAAUAAUUUCAAAUAAAAAAACAUUAAUUAUUAAUGAUAAUAAUACAAAUAAUAAUAUUAAAAAAAAUACCAAAAAAUCAUGUUUUAGUUUAACAUCAAGUACAGCAUCAAAAACAUCAUCAUCUUCUUCUUCAUCUUCAUCAUCUUCGUCAUCUGGAUUUGAUAAUGAAAAAUUAAAUAAUAAUGAAUUAUUAAAAAUACGAAGAAAAAAUGGUACUGUUGAUGUACCAGAUGUUAUUGUCGUCGCUGGAAAAAAUGUGGUAUCUAAUAGUUUACACUCGACGAGAAUCCUGACAUCCAGAGUCCUCACUGCACCUUCACGUGCCACUUAUACCACUGCUUACAUAUAGGCUACGUACGGGGACACCAGUAUCAAAUGAAAAAUCAAAUAAUAUUAUUUAUAGAAUUUUUUUUUUUUUUUUUUUUUUCAUUAAAUAGUAUAUUAUUUGUUUUAUGCCAUCAUAAAUUUACAACAAUUGGUGCUUCAUUAUUCAGGGGGCACUGGGCAAUUUUAUUAAUAUAUUUUAUAGAAAAAAUAUAUAUAUUAUUUUAUAUAGCACACGUGGAAUGGAAGGAGAAGAAAAGGUGAUUUAUCAAACUGGAGAACAUGGUGGACAUCAUGCAUGAAAAAUAAACAAAAAAAAAAAAAAUGGAAUCACAAAUUAAAUGAGGAUCAACUUGAAAUUCCAAAUCACAAA